AACGCGAAGAACCUUACCUACCCUUGACAUCCCACGGACCCUAUAGAGAUAUGGGGGUGCCGAAAGGAACGUGGAGACAGGUGCUGCAUGGCUGUCGUCAGCUCGUGUUGUGAGAUGUUGGGUUAAGUCCCGUAACGAGCGCAACCCUUAUCCUUAGUUGCCAACAUGUAAUGGUGGGGACUCUAAGGAGACUGCUGGUGAAGAACCGGAGGAAGGCGGGGACGACGUCAAGUCAUCAUGGCCUUUAUGGGUAGGGCUACACACGUGCUACAAUGGUUGGUACAGAGGGAAGCGAAACUGCGAAGUGGAGCGAAUCCCGGAAAGCCAAUCGUAGUCCGGAUUGAAGUCUGCAACUCGACUUCAUGAAGUCGGAAUCGCUAGUAAUCGCGAAUCAGAAUGUCGCGGUGAAUACGUUCCCGGGCCUUGUACACACCGUAGUAC
rnacentral:rRNA from 1 species